CCCAACGGUGUCGCGGGUGUGUGCUUAGGCCUGCCCGCUGCCUGAGUUCUGUCUUGGCGGGGGCAGCUGUGGAUGUCGCAGUCACUACGCCUGCCUCCCGGUAGCUGCCUCGUGUGCGAGUGAGGUCGGUCCCCGAGCCUCGGGAGCCCUCUCGCAAGUCGCGGGACGCUUGGCCCGGUAUAUGCCUUGCAGUGGGACUCCUGGAGCCUAUGGGAAUUCUUCAUGAUCAGCCAUCACAUUUUUUCCACAGCUGCUGUCCCAUUUUACAUCCCUACCAGACUAUUAUGAACAAUUAUAUGCCCCUAAAUGGGAUAAUCCAGAAGAAAUAGAUAAAUUCCUGGACCCUAAACAACCUACCAA